rnacentral:misc_RNA from 1 species
AAACUGCGAUAAGUAGUGUGAAUUGCAUUUAGUGAAUCAUCGAAUCUUUGAACGCACCCUGCACUCACUGGUAUUCCGGUGAGUACGCCUGGUUCAGUAUCAUUGAAAACACACAAUCAAAACAUUUUCUUUGGUUUGAUUGGCUUUGGGUCUAUCAAAAAGUUUGGCUUGUUUCUUACAAGCCAAGCGGCCUGAAAUAUAUUGUCUGGCUAAUUGCAUCGUUGAUGAUCGCUAUUAGACUUUGGCUUUUUUAAAUGAACUGGAGGUUGAUUAACCAGUUUUAGCUUUAGUCAAAUGGUCAUUGUAAAAAAAAUCUCGAUCUUGGCUAGGUGUUUAUAGCCGAAAAUUUUUUUUUGGCUAUAACCGAAACCAAUAUAAUCACAUUUAGUUAUCGAUCUGAAAUCAGGUGGGACUACCCGCUGAACUUAAGC